rnacentral:rRNA from 1 species
GACGAACGCUGGCGGCGUGCCUAAUACAUGCAAGUAGGACGCAGUUGCGAACGGGUGAGUAACGCGUAGGUAACUACCUAUUAGAGGGGGAUAACUAUUGGAAACGAUAGCUAAUACCGCAUACUAGUAGAUGGACCUGCGUUGUAUUAGAUAGUAGGUAGGGUAAUGGCCUACCUAGGCAAAGAGACAUAGCCGAACUGAGAGGGUGGUCGGCCAACCUGGGACUGAGGAAAGGCCCAGACUCCGACGGGAGGCAGCAGUAGGGAAUCUUCGGCAAUGGGGGGAACCCUGACCGAGCAACGCCGCGGGAGUGAAGAAGGUUUUCGGAUGGUAAAGCUCUGUUGUUAAGGAAGCGGUACUUAACCAGAAAGGGACGGCUAACUACGUGCCAGCAGCCGCGGGAAUUC